GAUGAACGCUGGCGGCGUGCCUAAUACAUGCAAGUCGAGCGAACGGACGAGAAGCUUGCUUCUCUGAUGUUAGCGGCGGACGGGUGAGUAACACGUGGAUAACCUACCUAUAAGACUGGGAUAACUUCGGGAAACCGGAGCUAAUACCGGAUAAUAUUUUGAACCGCAUGGUUCAAAAGUAAAAGACGGUCUUGCUGUCACUUAUAGAUGGAUCCGCGCUGCAUUAGCUAGUUGGUAAGGUAACGGCUUACCAAGGCAACGAUGCAUAGCCGACCUGAGAGGGUGAUCGGCCACACUGGAACUGAGACACGGGCCAGACUCCUACGGGAGGCAGCAGUAGGGAAUCUUCCGCAAUGGGCGAAAGCCUGACGGAGCAACGCCGCGUGAGUGAUGAAGGUCUUCGGAUCGUAAAACUCUGUUAUUAGGGAAGAACAUAUGUGUAAGUAACUGUGCACAUCUGGACGGUACCUAAUCAGAAAGCCACGGCUAACUACUU
rnacentral:rRNA from 1 species